AUUCGUGGGCUCGUGUGGAUGACUCCUAGUGGCAGGAUGCAUGUGCGGCUCACAACAUCAUCUUCAAAUCUGGAUCAACAAAGUUAGAACGUCUAACUUGCAAGGUAAUAGAUCUGAUCUAUUAUAUUUUACAUACAUUAGAUGUAGUAUAGAAACAUGUUGAUAUGAUCAACAUGUGGUUCUUGCUCUUUAUAUUUUAAUUUUUGAUUUAAUGUCAC
rnacentral:lncRNA from 1 species